rnacentral:lncRNA from 1 species
CAAAUAUUUCUGCUUUAGAAUGGAACUAUCAGUUUGGGGAAGAGUGAGAAAUAUAGAAAAGAAAGAAUUACAGAUGGGGAGAUCUAGUUGGGAAAAUAUUAUUAAUCACUUUGGUUAGGUCAGUGUCAGUGAAGACAAAGGAGGGGAUUAAAAAUGACUGGGGAUUGGUAACAGGAAAGGACUGCCAAAGAUUGAUUUUAAGUACCACGUCUAACAUUUGUAAGGCUGAAAGAAAGUGUUUCUGACAAAUGCAAACUAAAGCAGGGUUAUAUUUUAUGAAAAUAUGCCAUGGAGAGGAGUAGGAGUAUGAAGGAAGGAAGAAGAACAGGAGAAAAAUGCAGGCAAUAUGUUGGAGUGGUGGCAGUAAACAAUAGGGGCUUAGAUGAGAAUUACUGAAGGAGUGAACUGCUGGAUGUAUUUGAUAGAAUCAUAGAAUCAUGGAAUGGUUUGGGUUGAAAGGGGUAUUAAAGGUGUUCCAGUUCCAGACUCUCUGCCGUGGGCUGGAACACCUUCCAGUAGAUCAGGUUGCCUGAAGUCCCAUCCAACCUGGCCUUGAAGGCCUUUUAUCUGAUGAGUGAUAUCUGACAUCAUCAAUAAUCUGUGAAGUUUUGUGCAAAGAGCCAAGUGGACAUCAGGGCAUGAGAAAUGACCUGCCCCAGGAAUGUGUGUUCUGAUUCACAUGAACGAAUCUCAAUAAGCUUCACCAAGAGAGGAUCUGUGGUGAGGUCCAGGCAGUGUGAACAGGACAGAUAUCUGUGCUGGAGAAGAGACCAUCACCUCUUCCAGAUGGUGCCUUGUACUACCACGAGGUCACGUGAGGAUGCAGAUGGAGUAAUCCUUUUCUUGGACUUUCUGCUACACCGAGUGCUUGUUUGAAGGAAGGCUGGGGCAUGCUGGGAAGCACAACGUCGGUGAUGCCUGUGAUACAAUAUUGGGCCAAGCAGCAAAGAUAUUAAACUCUAUUGUACUCAUCGGAGGAGUCAAGCAUGCUUUCAUCCUUGCCACGUAGAGCUGGACUUUUUUUUCUUCUUGUUUUCCCAGCAAAAAUAGCUUUUUAAUCAGUCCAAAAUCUCCAAGGAAAGGGGAAAACAAACAAACAAACAAACAAAACCAGCACACAAAGCUCUUUCCUAUUUCCUCCUUGAUGCUUUUCCACAAGGCUGCUACCUGAGGACCAAAGGAGCAAGUGCUCUUUCACUCUCGUUGUCAAACCAAACCUGCACACAUAAAUACAUGCUACAGGGACACACAGCACCUGCUGCCCCCGGCACUGCUGUUAUUUAAAUUGUAGUGUUA